rnacentral:rRNA from 1 species
CUGCUGCCUCCCGUAGGAGUCUGGGCCGUGUCUCAGUCCCAAUGUGGCCGUCCAACCUCUCAGUCCGGCUACCGAUCGUCGGCUUGGUGGGCCGUUACCUCACCAACUACCUAAUCGGACGCGAGCCCAUCUUUCAGCGGAUUGCUCCUUUGAUUAUCCUACCAUGCGAUAAGAUAAUGUCAUGCGGUAUUAGCGUUCGUUUCCAAACGUUAUCCCCCUCUGAAAGGCAGGUUGCUCACGCGUUACUCACCCGUCCG